rnacentral:rRNA from 1 species
AGGGAAUCUUCGGCAAUGGGGGCAACCCUGACCGAGCAACGCCGCGUGAGUGAAGAAGGUUUUCGGAUCGUAAAGCUCUGUUGUAAGUCAAGAACGAGUGUGAGAGUGGAAAGUUCACACUGUGACGGUAGCUUACCAGAAAGGGACGGCUAACAACGUGCCAGCAGCCGCGGUAAUACGUAGGUCCCGAGCGUUGUCCGGAUUUAUUGGGCGUAAAGCGAGCGCAGGCGGUUUGAUAAGUCUGAAGUUAAAGGCUGUGGCUCAACCAUAGUUCGCUUUGGAAACUGUCAAACUUGAGUGCAGAAGGGGAGAGUGGAAUUCCAUGUGUAGCGGUGAAAUGCGUAGAUAUAUGGAGGAACACCGGUGGCGAAAGCGGCUCUCUGGUCUGUAACUGACGCUGAGGCUCGAAAGCGUGGGGAGCGAAC